GUUUGUGAUUUUGCUCUAAAUCCAAUGGGUUCUCUCUGUUUUUAUUGAUUUGGUGCUUUUUUUGGUGCAAGAUUUGAUUUUUAGCUUGUGGGUGUUUGUGAUUUUGCUUAUAUGUUAUCUCGAUUGAGACUUGUUUUUGGUAAAAGCUAAAGAUGGGGAAUUGAAUUGAGGUUUUAUCAAUUCUAAAUCUAUCUUUUCUGGUUAUAGCUGGUGUUAAGGGGGUUUG
rnacentral:misc_RNA from 1 species